rnacentral:rRNA from 1 species
CCCGCUGAACUUAAGCAUAUCAAUAAGCGGAGGAAAAGAAACUAACAAGGAUUCCCCUAGUAACUGCGAGUGAAGCGGGAAAAGCUCAAAUUUAAAAUCUGGCAGCCAUUUUACGGUUGUCCGAGUUGUAAUCUAGAGAAGUGCUUUCCGCGCUGGACCGUGUACAAGUCUCUUGGAAUAGAGCAUCAUAGAGGGUGAGAAUCCCGUCUUUGACACGGACUACCAGUGCUUUAUGUGAUGCGCUCUCAAAGAGUCGAGUUGUUUGGGAAUGCAGCUCAAAAUGGGUGGUAAAUUCCAUCUAAAGCUAAAUAUUGGCGAGAGACCGAUAGCGAACAAGUACCGUGAGGGAAAGAUGAAAAGAACUUUGGAAAGAGAGUUAAACAGUACGUGAAAUUGUGAAAGGGAAACGCUUGAAGUCAGUCACGUUGGCCAGAAAUCAACUUGUAACAGGGCGUAAUUUCUGGUUUUACGGGGUCAACAUCAAUUUUGAUUGUGGGAUAAAAGUCAAUAUUUAUGCGUUUUCGGACGUGUAGCCUUUGAUUGCAUACAAUGGUUGGGAUUGAGGAACUCAGCACGCCGCAAGGCCGGGUAACUUGUUACCACGUAACGUGCUUAGGAUGUUGGCAUAAUGGCUUUAAUCGACCCGUCUUGAAACACGG